GACUUCCGAGGGGCGGCGCGAACGGCAAUGGCGGUCCUCUUCUGAACGGGAGAGGAGGCUCCGCAGAAAACGGGUCGUCCGCUACGGCGAAGCGGAGACCCACUCCGGAAAACCCCAGGCAGCAAGAGCUUGGGGUCUUGAGGCUCGGUGGGCGCCUUAAGUGACCCUCCAAACGCAGAAGGAACCUCGUAAGGGGCUCCGGAGCGUGGAGGGGGGUUGCGGCGCUGAGAGCUGCUUCACAGUCUGCGGAGUGAAGCCGCGCUGCUGCUGCCGGUGAGCGCUGAUCCUUUCCUGCUAAAAUACGGAUUCGGACGAAAAGCAACUUACUCGUGAGUAAAGACUGAAUCACUUGAAAUCAGAGACUUUAAAUGAAAAAUCUUAAAUUGGCUUGAACUUGGCUGAAAGCGGAGAGACGUGGAAACAGGAAGUCCGUCUUCCGCAGCCAUUGAACUUGAAAAAAGCAACUAAGUUGGAGGAGUGGAGGCUGAAAGGAAGAGAUUUUAAACUUUACAGAUCUAAGCAUCUACUGAACUUGCAAUUUAAAGUAAAGACUUUAAGCUAAAGACUUGGAAUUUUAACUUGCACUUGACUUUCCCCCUUUUAUUGGAUUACAAAUUAGAAGGUGAAACCCAGAGUCAGCAGCUGCCUGAGCAUUGAGAAAUUGAGCUGUCAGUAUUGCAGAUUUUGAUACUGUAUAUUGGAACUUGCAACAAUCUGAGGGUAUUGAGACUUUUUAAAUUUGAAACAUUCUUUUUGGAGAUAAACAAGCACUGUCUGUAACAAAGUGAUUACUUAUAAACUCUGCUAAAUAUUUAUAUUUGAAGGCUCUUGGACAUUAAAUUAGACUCUGAAAGACAUUUUAAGCUCCCUCUAGAGGAUUGGAUGAAAACAGUGACUUUACAUUUUACAUUUACUUUCGAUUCCCUUGUUGUUUGCUUGCUCUGGGCCUUUCUAUUCCCAUGGGAAAAACUCAGUGUGACCUUGACUGAUAGACAACGUUGGAAUGAGUGGCACAAGGAAAAGAGGGAGAGUUAGACAAACAACUUUAACAACUCUAACCUCAGCCUCGCAGACACGUAGAUCAUCUGUACCUACUUUGCCCUCAGAAGUAGAACUUGAAGAAGUUGCCUUGCCACAGGCAAAAGAGGGAGAGGGUGAAGCAGAGCAGUUACAAUUGGAAGAUAUGGCCUCAGGAGUAUCUGUUUCUGUUCUAGACAAAAUCUUUGAAAAAUUGGAAGCUUUGGACAAGAAAGUAGAUGCGCAAUCAGCAAAGAUUGACAAAAAUACAGAAUGUCUAAAUAAAUUAACCAUACAAGUUGUACAGAAUACACAAGCAAUUGGACAGUUAACGGAGGCCUCAGCAGAAAAUCGGAAAUUGGCUGAGGAUACUAGACAAAAAUUGGUUCGGGUCCUACCUUGUCUGGAGCAGCAGUAAGCAAGCUUGCUCCCUCCUCCAUGGGACAGCCCUAAGCAUACCCAGAUCCUUCAACCGUUCCUCAUAAAGCUUGGCUUUGUUAUAAGAAUUUUAAGGUCUCAAAUAUAGAAUAUUCAUAAAUGCACGCAUAUCUAAAUAAAUGAACCAUGUGUCUGAAAUAGUAUGGGAAAGCGAUCCUGAAUCCAUUUUGACUCUCCCAAUGACCUCAAAUAUUCCUCUGCAGUAAGGGAGGCAAAUGGGGAAAGCCUUCCCAUUGUUUUUUUUCUUGCAAAUCCUGUCUUAAGGGCGUAUUUGUGUAUGAAUAGGGUGAGCCUGUGACCUGGAUUCAGGAACUAAAGUAUUAACGAUAACGAAAGAAGGCCAGACUGCCCAGGUAAUGCAAUCAGUGACGAUUAUCAGGUAUGCUGGCGGGCAGGAUUUCUGCUGUAGACCGCCUCCUUCUGAGAUGUAUGUAUGAUGUAUUGACGGGUGGUCUUGGGCUACAGGGUAGGCAAUUUCAAACGUCUAUACAAGGGCUUGUGCACCAUUGUUCAGGGUUCUCUCUCCUCUGUGUGGUGAGUGGGCACCCUGUUGCAACAGUUCCUUAAAUAAAGAUCAGGCUAACUAGCCACUUUGCUUCUCAAUCAGUGGCGUAGCGUGGGCCGGGCGCAACAUCUGGGGGGGGCGCUCGCACUCGAGUGCUAAAAUCCACGGGUUAGAGGGCGCAAAUUACUUGCCUUGCCCCGGGUGCUGACAACCCACGCUACGCCACUGUUCUCAAUAUACUCUGGUUGACCUGUGUUUUCUCCUACCAAUAGCGAACCUACAUAAGGACUCUAUAUGGGCUCCAGAAUACCCUAUAAGGGAAAGGGAGCAGUUUUUCUUAUAACCUCUAGCUCCUAGACCCUUGAUCACCCUAGUUGCACUCCUCUGCAAACAUUCCAGUUUGUCAACAUCCUUAAAUUGUGGUGCUCAGAACUGGGCACAGGACUCUAUGAGUCACCUUGCCCCGUGGGUGGGCCAACCCUUCUGAGCACCGUAGUUUACAAUGCACAGUCAUAAUUCCCAGCAAGCCUCAAACUACAGUGCCCAGAAUUCUUUGAGUGAAAGAAUAUUCCUUAAAAUGUGCUUGAACGUUAUAUUGUGUACACAGCCAUAGAGUCUGCAUGCAGUCCUAUCCAGCUAAUUUCUAUCUGAAAUCGGGUCACCCUAUGCUGGUGUGGUCACUCUAGAUUUUAUGCUGAUGUGGCACACAAAAUUUCCAGCUGCUCCUCUGCAGGGUUGUCAAACAACACCGGAGUCCAGCUAGGGUAACUGUUUGGCAACAUAAUUUGUACCUUUGCAUCAUUCACUUCCUCCCUGGUUGGGUGAUGCUUAAAACAACAUCACCCUGAGUUCCAUGAUGGAAAAAAUGUGGGAUAAAAUGUAAUAAGUAAGUAAAUAAAUCAUUAUUCCAUUACUGUAC